AUUGAACGCUGGCGGCAUGCCUUACACAUGCAAGUCGAACGGAGAGAGGUAGCUUGCUACUGAUCUUAGCGGCGGACGGGUGAGUAAUGCUUAGGAAUCUGCCUAUUAGUGGGGGACAACAUUUCGAAAGGAAUGCUAAUACCGCAUACGUCCUACGGGAGAAAGCAGGGGAUCUUCGGACCUUGCGCUAAUAGAUGAGCCUAAGUCGGAUUAGCUAGUUGGUGGGGUAAAGGCCUACCAAGGCGACGAUCUGUAGCGGGUCUGAGAGGAUGAUCCGCCACACUGGGACUGGGACACGGCCCAGACUCCUACGGGAGGCAGCAGUGGGGAAUAUUGGACAAUGGGCGGAAGCCUGAUCCAGCCAUGCCGCGUGUGUGAAGAAGGCCUUAUGGUUGUAAAGCACUUUAAGCGAGGAGGAGGCUACUUUAGUUAAUACCUAGAGAUAGUGGACGUUACUCGCAGAAUAAGCACCGGCUAACUCUGUGCCAGCCGCCGCUGUAAAAC
rnacentral:rRNA from 1 species